UAACUCAGCACCAUCCAUUCAGUCAUCGUGUGGUCUUCAUCUUUUGAAGCCUCAUUUUCUCAUCUGUAGAACUUGCCAUGAAGCUUUGUUACCAUGACGUCACAUGCUAUCCAUGGGGUUUUGUUGCUGUUACAGAGGUCCCCGUGAUAUGCUGUCCUGCAUUUCUAGACAUGUCUUUGGUUUGGAAGCCUGACACCACCAAAAGAGAACUGCAGUGCAAAUGGUUUUGAAAUCCUCCACUAAUCAUCCUAGAAGCUCAGCUAGUUCCAGGGCCUUCCAUAAUUCCAAUUCCAAAGGACUUCAUAUCAAAACAUUCUUUGCUUGUUUUGCUACCCCCCAAGAUUGCAUUUAUCCCUUCUCUGGAGAUUUUAACAGUUGGUGAGCUACCCUAGGCUCUGGUGGCACCUUCUAUAAGUGACCCUUGACCUUCCACUUUCCUGAACUGAUGAAAACAUAGCUGUGUUAGCUCAAAUAAAUAUUUCCUAACUGCCUGCUUUGGGGAAAA